UACGGAGGGGACUAGCGUUGUUCGGAAUUACUGGGCGUAAGGCGCACGUAGGCGGAUUUGUAAGUCAGGGGUGAAAUCCCGGGGCUCAACCUCGGAACUGCCUUUGAUACUGCAAAUCUCGAGUCCGGAAGAGGUGAGUGGAAUUCCUAGUGUAGAGGUGAAAUUCGUAGAUAUUAGGAAGAACACCAGUGGCGAAGGCGGCUCACUGGUCCGGUACUGACGCUGAGGUGCGAAAGCGUGGGGAGCAAACAGG
rnacentral:rRNA from 1 species